AUUGAACGCUGGCGGCAUGCUUUACACAUGCAAGUCGAACGGUAACAGGCCUUCGGGUGCUGACGAGUGGCGCACGGGUGAGUAAUGCAUCGGAACGUACCCAGAGGUGGGGGAUAACGCAGCGAAAGCUGUGCUAAUACCGCAUGUGAUCUGAGGAUGAAAGCGGGGGACCGAGCAGCAAUGUUUGGCCUCGCGCCUUUGGAGCGGCCGAUGUCGGAUUAGCUAGUUGGUGGGGUAAAGGCCUACCAAGGCGACGAUCCGUAGCUGGUCUGAGAGGACGACCAGCCACACUGGGACUGAGACACGGCCCAGACUCCUACGGGAGGCAGCAGUGGGGAAUUUUGGACAAUGGGCGCAAGCCUGAUCCAGCAAUGCCGCGUGCGGGAAGAAGGCCUUCGGGUUGUAAACCGCUUUUGGCAGGAACGAAACGGUGUCCGCUAAUACCGGGCGCUAAUGACGGCACCUGCAGAAUAAGCACCGGCUAACUACGUG
rnacentral:rRNA from 1 species